ACGUUGCACACGUCUUUUCGCAAUGGCGUCUCUGCCGCACUACGCGCGUCUUGGCGAUUCUCGCGGCCUUCGUGAGCGUUCAGCCCGGUCACAAUUGCGUGAGCAUUGAGAAUAUUUGUAUAGUAUCUACGCGUUAAAUUCUUCCGAUCCGAUUUCGAAGACCUUAAUCACAAGCGGAAUCGGCUUUAGCACGGUUUCACCGUGAAACUUUGCUCGGCAUACGCGGACGCGACGCGACGCGACGCGUUCAAAAUUCGCCGGGGACGCGAGGCCCGCGAGACGAGUUUUUAGCCUGGUCUACAAUUAUGUAAACGUUGUUGGACGCCAUAUAUUUUGUGACCACGCAGAUUCAUGAGUCAUGACUACGCAGUAGGAAGACCUGAGAGCUGAGACCCUUCGCAUGCGUGUACCGGCGUGCUGCCUCGUGGCUGAAAUUAACUGCGACUCUUGAAAUUAAGAGCUGGCAUCUUCUCUGGAGGGAUACGGAUUGGUUCUAGAGUUCCUGAAAGAUAUGUGAAUUUCUGAAACUGGAUGUUGCAAUGAGCAGAACAUACUGCAAUACACUAACUGGUAUAGCUUUGAGUGUAUUUAGUUAGUGUACAACGACUGUCUCGUGCUAGCCAACAAUUCCUGCGGGACUAUAUUCGCGCUCUAUCGAGAGACGACGAGGGCGACACGGAGAAAUGGAAGCACGAGCCCGUGGAACGACGGAGAGAUAACGCCACGAGAGCUUGGAACUCUCCAACACCUCGAAUGUCGAAUGGUCGUCAGCGGCGGCGGUGGCGGCGGCGUGAAAUAUUCAGGUCAGCGACGAGAACGUCGACGAUCUUGGCGGACUUCGCCCCGUCGAUCGAUCUGUCGACUCGCAACGCGAAUACGCGACAAAUAACACACGGAGCCAGGUGAAGUAAAAAUCUCGGAUUUAUCUUUGUGACAUGCGCCACGUCCAAUCCGAUCCUCAAGCUACGUUAUCAAUAAUACAAAUGCACGCGCGGGCAAUCUCGUAUCUUUGCGUUUAGCUUUAAUCAGUCGUAACUGGAUGAUGGCGAAUAAUGGACAUGUAUUAUGGAACGCAACAAGAGUAAAAAU